CCUACGGGUGGCAGCAGUGGGGAAUAUUGCACAAUGGGGGAAACCCUGAUGCAGCGACGCCGCGUGAGUGAAGAAGUCUUUCGGUAUGUAAAGCUCUAUCAGCCGGGAAGAAAAUGACGGUACCUGACUAAGAAGCCCCGGCUAACUACGUGCCAGCAGCCGCGGUAAUACGUCGGGGGCAAGCGUUAUCCGGAUUUACUGGGUGUAAAGGGAGCGUAGACGGCAGCACAAGUCUGGAGUGAAAUGCCGGGGCUUAAACCCGGAACUGCUGUGGAAACUGUGCAGCUAGAGGGCAGGAGAGGUAAGUGGAAUUCCUAGUGUAGCGGUGAAAUGCGUAGAUAAUAGGAGGAACACCAGGGGCGAAGGCGGCUUACUGGACUGUAACUGACGUUGAGGCACGAAAGCGUGGGGAGCAAACAGGAUUAGAUACCCGGGUAGUC
rnacentral:rRNA from 1 species